CGCUUAUCGAGAGAGGCGGAGGGACUGGCCCAAUGAAGCCCGGCAGCGGAUUUUCCUUGAGCGGAAAAUGCUGUGCCAAUUCCAGCAGGAUUUUUCUAUCCUGGCAGAUAAGAG
rnacentral:ncRNA from 2 species